UUAACGAGUGUGUACAUUGUUCAAUGUGCCAGGUUACAUUUCUGCUGAGCUUGGCUUCUGUAUGUUGUCUUUUAUCCUUGUAAGCAGAAGUCAUUUUAUAUCUUAAAAAAACUAGAACAUUGGUAGAAUUACAGAUUUUAAAGUUCAAACCUGCACGCUAGUACUUGUUUAAUGUUUUGUACUGAAGGGCGCACAUUACGUCAUUCUGCGAUACAGCGACAUGUAUGUACACAUACACACUGCACAGCGUGUAUACCGACUGGACACCUGCGCCAAAUAGUACACACCAGACUGCACAUGGACCCGCCCCGCACACUGCACAUGCACUUUACAUGCAUGCACACAUCAAACCACAGACACUCCACACACACUGCACUGCACACUGCCCUGAGCACACUACACUGUACUGCGCACUGCACUGCACCUUCAGGGCUCACACGCUGCACCACACACUGCACUGUACACACGCUGCACCACACACACUGCACGGCGCACACUGCACUGCAUACACACGUUGGUUAUGGAGGCUGCUUAUGGAGCUUCCCUGUGCAGAGAAAUGCUGGCUUGGGUUUUAAAUGGGAUACAAUUAACAUUUUUAGAGCAUUUGGGUUUUCAAAGUGUCUUCAGAGACUUGAUUUUUUUAAAGCCUAUAUUAGGAGUUUUUAAACAUCUGAUGUAAUAGCUUUUUUAAAAGGAAUCUUGCUGAAUUAAAAUAGUGAGUCUAAUUACUCGGAUUCUGAACUUGUUUUUCAACCACAUAGAAGUAUUUUUAAUUGCUCUCUCUUUUUUCCCCUCUGGAACUCUGAAACAAGUUGUUCUUGAACUUCUGCCAGUUGCGGAUGGGCCAUUCGUUUCUCGCUCACAUGUUGAGCCGCCCGGCGGGGCGCCCUCACGCUGUGUUCUCUGCGGUGCACCGAGGCGCUCCCGGCGGUCCUGUUGCGGGUCUCCUGGUCACCUGUGGGCCAUAGGGAGAGACGCGCCCACACACUGGCGCCCGCGCCCAGGACAGCUGCGGGAGCCCCGGGCCGCUCUAACCCGAUGCGUCUCCCGCAGGCUGAGAUGCGGCUGCUCCUGCUCGUGCCGCUGCUGCUGGCUCCAGCGCCCGGGUCCUUGGCUCCCAAGGUGAGGCGGCAGAGUGACACCUGGGGACCCUGGGGCCAGUGGAGCCCCUGCAGCCGGACCUGUGGAGGGGGUGUCAGCUUCCGGGAGCGCCCCUGCUACUCCCAGAGGAGAGAUGGAGGCUCCAGCUGCGUGGGCCCCGCCCGGAGCCACCGCUCUUGUCGCACGGAGAGCUGCCCCGACGGCGCCCGGGACUUCCGGGCCGAGCAGUGCGCGGAGUUCGACGGAGCGGAGUUCCAGGGGCGGCGGUAUCGGUGGCUGCCCUACUACGGCGCCCCAAACAAGUGUGAACUGAACUGCAUUCCCAAGGGGGAGAACUUCUACUACAAGCACAGGGAGGCUGUGGUUGAUGGGACGCCCUGCGAGCCUGGCAAGAGGGAUGUCUGUGUGGAUGGCAGCUGCCGGGUUGUCGGCUGUGAUCACGAGCUGGACUCGUCCAAGCAGGAGGACAAGUGUCUGCGGUGUGGGGGUGACGGCACGACCUGCUACCCCGUCGCAGGCACCUUUGACGCUAAUGACCUCAGCCGAGGCUACAACCAGAUCCUCAUAGUUCCCGUGGGUGCCACCAGCAUCCUCAUCGAGGAGGCUGCUGCCAGCAGGAACUUCCUGGCUGUGAAGAAUGUUCGUGGGGAAUACUACCUCAAUGGGCACUGGACCAUCGAGGCGGCCCGGGCCCUGCCAGCAGCCAGCACCAUCCUGCAUUAUGAGCGGGGUGCUGAGGGGGACCUGGCCCCUGAGCGGCUCCAUGCCCGGGGCCCCACCUCAGAGCCCCUGGUCAUCGAGCUCAUCAGCCAGGAGCCCAACCCCGGUGUGCACUAUGAGUACCACCUGCCCCUGCGCCGCCCCGGCCCCGGCCCCGGCCCCGGCUUCAGCUGGAGCCACGGCUCAUGGAGUGACUGCAGCGCGGAGUGUGGUGGAGGUCACCAGUCCCGCCUGGUGUUCUGCACCAUCGACCAUGAGGCCUACCCCGACCACAUGUGCCAGCGCCAGCCACGGCCAGCUGACCGGCGUUCCUGCAAUCUUCACCCUUGCCCGGAGACCAAGCGGACCUCUUACCUGCACCGGCCUGGAGCGUGGCGCCUUGCUGGGGCCCAGCGAGUGUGUGGGAACAGCUGGAAGGCAGGGCCAUGGGCACCCUGCUCGGCCUCCUGUGGAGGAGGCUCCCAGUCCCGCUCCGUGUACUGCAUCUCGUCUGACGGGGCCGGCAUCCAGGAGGCCGUGGAGGAGGCUGAGUGUGCCGGGCUGCCUGGGAAGCCCCCUGCCAUUCAGGCCUGCAACCUGCAGCGCUGCGCAGCCUGGAGCCCGGAGCCCUGGGGAGAGUGUUCUGUCAGCUGUGGCACUGGCAUCCGGAAGCGGAGCGUUACUUGCCGGGGUGAAAGGGGUUCUUUGCUCCAUACCGCAGCGUGCUCCUUGGAAGACCGGCCCCCUCUGACUGAGCCCUGUGUGCAUGAGGACUGCCCCCUCCUCAGUGACCAGGCCUGGCAUGUCGGCACCUGGGGUCUAUGCUCCAAGAGCUGCAGCUCGGGCACUCGGAGGCGACAGGUCAUCUGUGCCAUUGGGCCGCCCAGCCACUGUGGGAGCCUGCAGCACUCCAAGCCUGUGGAUGUGGAGCCUUGUAACACGCAGCCCUGUCAUCUCCCCCAGGAGGUCCCCAGCAUGCAGGAUGUGCACACCCCCGCCAGCAACCCCUGGAUGCCGUUGGGCCCUCAGGAGUCCCCUGCCUCAGACUCCAGAGGCCAGUGGUGGGCAGCCCAGGAACACCCCUCAGCCAGGGGUGACCACAGGGGAGAACGAGGUGACCCCAGGGGCGACCAAGGCACCCACCUGUCAGCCCUGGGCCCCGCUCCCUCUCUGCAGCAGCCCCCAUACCAGCAACCCCUGCGGUCAGGCUCAGGGCCCCACGACUGCAGACACAGUCCUCACGGGUGCUGCCCCGAUGGCCACACGGCAUCUCUCGGGCCUCAGUGGCAAGGCUGCCCUGGGGCCCCCUGUCAGCAGAGCAGGUACGGGUGCUGCCCUGACAGGGUAUCUGUCGCUGAGGGGCCCCAUCACGCUGGCUGCACAAAGUCGUACGGCGGUGACAGCACCGGGGGCAGGCCCAGGUCAAGGGCAGUGGCUUCUACAGUCCACAACACCCACCAGCCCCACGCCCAGCAGAAUGAGCCCAGUGAGUGCCGGGGCUCCCAGUUUGGCUGUUGCUAUGACAACGUGGCCACUGCAGCCGGUCCUCUUGGGGAAGGCUGUGUGGGCCAGCCCAGCCAUGCCUACCCCGUGCGGUGCCUGCUGCCCAGUGCCCAUGGCUCUUGCGCAGACUGGGCUGCCCGCUGGUACUUCGUUGCCUCUGUGGGCCAAUGUAACCGCUUCUGGUAUGGCGGCUGCCAUGGCAAUGCCAAUAACUUUGCCUCGGAGCAAGAGUGCAUGAGCAGCUGCCAGGGAUCUCUCCAUGGGCCCCGUCGUCCCCAGCCUGGGGCUUCUGGAAGGAGCACCCACACGGAUGGUGGCGGCAGCAGUCCUGCAGGCAAGCAGGAACCCAGCCAGCACAGGACAGGGGCCGCGGUGCAGAGAAAGCCCUGGCCUUCUGGUGGUCUCUGGCGGCAAGACCAACAGCCUGGGCCAGGGGAGGCCCCCCACACCCAGGCCUUUGGAGAAUGGCCAUGGGGGCAGGAGCUUGGGUCCAGGGCCCCUGGACUGGGUGGAGAUGCCGGAUCACCAGCGCCACCCUUCCACAGCUCCUCCUACAGGAUUAGCUUGGCAGGUAUGAAGCCCUCGUUGGUGCAGGCAGCCCUGGGGCAGUUGGUGUGGCUCUCCUGCUCAGACGACACUGCCCCGGAAUCCCAGGCUGCCUGGCAGAAAGAUGGCCAGCCCAUCUCCUCUGACAGGCACAGGCUGCAGUCCGACGGCUCCCUGAUCAUCCACCCCCUGCAGGCAGAGGAUGCGGGCACCUACAGCUGUGGCAGCACCCGGCCAGGCCGUGACUCCCAGAAGAUCCAACUUCGCAUCAUAGGGGGUGACAUGGCCGUGCUGUCUGAGGCUGAGCUGAGCCGCUUCCCUCAGCCCAGGGACCCAGCUCAGGACUUUGGCCAAGCGGGGGCUGCUGGGCCCCUGGGGGCCAUCCCUUCUUCACACCCACAGCCUGCAAACAGGCUGCGUUUGGACCAGAACCAGCCCCGGGUGGUGGAUGCCAGUCCAGGCCAGCGGAUCCGGAUGACCUGCCGUGCCGAAGGCUUCCCGCCCCCAGCCAUCGAGUGGCAGAGAGAUGGGCAGCCUGUCUCUUCUCCCAGACACCAGCUGCAGCCUGAUGGCUCCCUGGUCAUUAGCCGAGUGGCUGUAGAAGAUGGCGGCUUCUACACCUGUGUUGCUUUCAAUGGGCAGGACCAAGACCAGCGAUGGGUCCAGCUCAGAGUUCUGGGGGAGCUGACAAUCUCAGGACUGCUGCCUACUGUGACAGUGCCAGAGGGUGAUACCGCCAGGCUAUUGUGUGUGGUAGCAGGAGAAAGUGUGAACAUCAGGUGGUCCAGGAACGGGCUACCUGUGCAGGCUGAUGGCCACCGUGUCCACCAGUCCCCAGAUGGCACGCUGCUCAUUUACAACUUGCGGGCCAGGGAUGAGGGCUCCUACACAUGCAGCGCCUACCAGGGGAGUCAGGCAGUCAGCCGCAGCACCGAGGUGAAGGUGGUCUCACCAGCACCCACCGCCCAGCCCAGGGACCCUGGCAGGGACUGCAUCGACCAGCCAGAGCUGGCCAACUGUGACUUGAUCCUGCAGGCCCAGCUUUGUGGCAAUGAGUAUUACUCCAGCUUCUGCUGUGCCAGCUGUUCACGUUUCCAGCCUCACGCUCAGCCCAUCUGGCAGUAGGGAUGAAGGCUACUUCCAGCCCCAGUCCAAAAUAGUUCACAGGGCUAGGGAGAAAGGAAGAUGGACUCUUGGCUUCCUCUCUCUGGCUGGCAAAGGGAGUUAUCUUCUGGAAUACAUUAGCUCUUUCAAAAACCCACCCAGUGUUUAGCCUCAACGGCAGCCAGUACCGGCUUCCCUCUGUAGCCUUCAGCAGUGUUUGCAUCUCUGACAUAACCACAGGCUGCUGUUUUCAAGAAGAGCAAUCUGUUUGGAUAAGAAAAACCUUUACUUUACAGCUUCCCUUUAUAAUUUGUUACACAGGAAUAGUUAAAUGCAUUUGUUUGUUUGUUUUUUGAGACGGAGUUUCACUCUUGUUGCCCAGGCUGGAGGGCAAUGGCGUGAUCUCAGCUCACUGCAACCUCCGCCUCCUGGGUUCUUGAUUCUCCUGUGUCAGCCUUCUGAGUAGCUAGGAUUACAGAUGCCUAUCACCAUGCCUGGGUAAUUUUUGUAUUUUUAGUUGAGAUGGGGUUUCACCAUGUUGGCCAGGCUGGUCUCGAACUUCAGAUGAUCUGCCUGCCUCAGCCUCCCAAAGUGCUGGGAUUACAGGCAUGAGCCACCACGCCCAGCCAUCAAUGCAUUUUUAAAUUUUUUUUUGAGACAGAGUUUCGCUCUUCUUGCCCAGGCUGGAGUACAAUGGUGCGAUCUUGGCUCACUGCAACCUCCACUUCCUGGGUUCAAGCGCUUCUCCAGCCUCAGCCUCCUGAGUAGCUGGGAUUACAGGUAUGUGCCACCAUGCCUGGCUAAUUUUGUAUUUUUAGUAGAGACGGGGUUUCUCCAUGUUGGUCAGACUGGUCUUGAACUCCCGACCUCAGGUAAUCUGCCCGCCUUGGCCUCCCAAAAUGCUGGGAUUAGAGGUGUGAGCCACUGUGCCCAGCCCAUCAAUGUGUUUUAAAGCUAGCUGUCAGGGUUCCACUUAAUUUAAAGCUGGGCAGGGAGAUGUGUAAUGAUUUCAAAGUUAACACCUGUUUGUUUUCUAAAGGGCACGCCAAGUCCUGCUGUAUCAGGGAAGUAUUCUGUGCUAGAAUCAGCGAUGGUUCAUUGCUCUAGUCUCUCUCACCCUUCUAGGCAGUGCCUCAGUCAGCUCUAAAUCCGGUGCAGAGGGUUAACAGCAUAACCCUUGUUGGCAAAAUGGAAUAGAUGUUAAGACCUCAAAUAGGGAUUUGGGAUGAAACAGCUGCUGUUAGCACUGUUAUCUGAGCAUGAAAGAACUGGAAAAGCUCCUUACGUCGAGAUGUUGGACCUUGAAGCCCUCCUGAGGCCAACAUGCAAAUCUGGCUGUGACGGUUCAUCUGACACCUGUGUAAAGCUGACCAGCCUGCUCUGUACAGUGACAAUGAGGAGCCCCUCUCUUCCUUAAGUAGGAAUCUGUGAAGCAAAAUGUUUGCUGCCAGAGAAAAAUCAGACUCUCAGUCAUUAAAAACAGCAUUAGCAGGAUGAGGAUAGCAAUGGGGAAGGGUUGUGGGCAAUGCAGUAACAGGGAAAUGGCUUCAGAAAUGGUUUGAGUUGGAAGACAACAUUCUUCAUCUCUCAGGACUUCUAAUUCCUUGAUGCUAAAAGAAGAGGCAUGGAUUCUAUGAGCUUCCAAGUCCCUUUCCACUUUAACCUUCUACAAAUCUUCCAGAGGACUGCCUAGUAGCAAAGGUUAUACCUGGACACAGGAAAGACGGGCAUUACAGGGACCAAAGCUCUGAAAGGUGACUUUUAUUACCAACACACUGGCUGGAAAAGGGACAAACCACAUCACGGAUGGAGUCUCCCUAUGUUGCGCAGGCUUCAAACUCCUGGGCUCAAGUGUUCCUCCUGCCUUGGCCUCCCAAAGUGCUGGGAUUACAAGUGUGAGCCUCUGUGCCUGACCACAAAAGUAUAUGCUUUUAAAGUGUUCCAGAUACCGGUCUAGGAUUUUAUUACAGAGCCACUGAAGAACAUGAGGUGGCAACAUGGAUGCAGCUGGAAGUCAUUAUCCUAGCGAAUUAACACAGGAACAGAAAACCAAAUACCUCAUGUCCUCACUUAUAAGUGGGAGCUAAACAGUGAAUACACAUGGAUACAAAGAUGGGGAACAACAGACUCCGGAGCCUACUUGAGGUGGGAGGGUGAUGGUUGAAAAACUACCUAUCAGGUACCACGCUCACACUACCUGGGUGAUGAAAGCAUUUGGACACCAAACCCCAGUGACAUGCAAUUUACCCAUGUAACAAACCUGCACAUGUAC